GUGAGUGAAUCAGUGAUAGCUGACGUGUGAAAUAUUAGUCGUGCAAUUACCACGUGUAGGAACAUAUUUGCUUUGCUUUGUUUCUGACUUUGACAUUGAACUUUCAUACGAAACAAAUUGCCCAUCGUCUGACUAUCAUUUAAAGCCAAUUCAACUGCCUGUUUUCCUUUCUCAUGUGAUCUGUGACUACGACCAAACCAAGUGAUGAAUGAUAUCCAUUUAGCUAUAGCAUUGCUAUAGUUCUAAUCGUGACCGGUUUUCCUUCCUUCCACCUCGAGGUGUCGACCCAAUGAAUAACACGAUUUCCCAGGAAGGAGGAGGCCAUUUGUUUCACGAUGGCUUAUCUCGACAAGUCUACAUACACACACACACGAGAAAAAGGGGGUCCAUCUCGUAAGCUAAAGCUCCUCCGUGUGUGCCACCAGCUGACAAGGAGAAGGACGAGAGGACCGGUGGUUUGCCAAAUGCAACAAGAGAGGCGGAAGUCAAACAUUGACCCAUCAGACACAAACCACUCAACCCCCCCUCCGUAUCCUCCUUUCCAAUCAAUGGGAGGAAGAAGAGUGUGUAAUUCUUGGCUCGCGUCUCGGCCACUCCAAACUCCACCCGGAACGCAAAGUAUAUAAGUGAGUAUAAGAGACAGAGGAUAUCCUCCGAUUGCUGUUAUAGAAACUUGAGGUGCCGGAGCGGAAACUGACACCAGAGGAGACACACCUUUGCCACCUUUGGUCAACUGUUUUUUUAUUUUAUUUUAUUUUUUCUGCUUUGUUUUUUGGGGGGUUCUUAAGAAACCCAAAACUUUUGAAGAGGCGAUCGUUUUUUUUUUUUGAAGAAAAGAAAACACCCAAAUUGAGAAUGGCGGAGCCUUUUGAGUCUCUGUGUGAUGAAUUUCCUGCCCAACGGCGACUCAUUUCCCACCCAUCGAUCAUCGGAUGUCUUUUCUGACUAAAAAACAUUGACUCGGUGUAGACAUGCGCAAUCAGUUUGUGUGUUCUGCUUAUUUUCUCUUUUAAUGAUACGGCCAGGUAAACACCCCGUCAUUGAUUGCUGACAAUUCAUGUCCAGCCUCUCUCUCUCUCUCUCUACUUUUGCCCACCAUCAGAUGGGCUGGCACAAGUCCCCCGGCUGAUGGAUUACACCUGCAGGAAGAGGGGGGAGGAGAAUUGUGUGUUAUUCAUUUUUUACUAACGUGUUACACAGCGAUCAACUUUGUCUGGAAUAUCUUGGAAUAUUUUAUAUACGCAAGGUUCGGGGGUGGGGGUGUUAUUCUUUCGUUUCUCGAUUCAUUUCAUGAAAAAUGUGCUCUGGUUUUAUACGUUGGGGUGGUGAGGUUGUGAAGGCAGAGGGGAGAGCGUUGAUAGCCGAUGAAUUCGUUUCGAUUCCGUCAGGUGAACGCUAAAGAGCGCGCUGGAAAUAUAAUCAGCGAGUUGCCAUAAAAAUGUCAGAAUCGAGGAGCUGGGGAAUUUCAGAUUGGGUAGUGGGUGGUGGUGUAGGGUCAUCUAACCGCCACCACCACUUCUUCUUCUUCUUCUUCGCCUAUAUAUCUUGGCCUGGGAGCCCUCGAAACUCUGGAAUGCUUUACCCUUAGCCCUCCCCCUCUUACCAUUCACUUUCCAUCAAUCGUCCGGAGCAGCCUUUUUUUCUUCUUUAUUUUAUUUUUAUUUUUUACUUCUUCCUUCCAGCCUCACAUACGCUGUCUCUACUAUGUGUUUGAGAGUAUAAACGCGCGUGGGAAAAUUGGGUAGAAGUUAAGAAAAAAAAAAGAGCCGGUCCUAAACGAGAGGAUGAGAUUCAAUUAACUGGCGGUCCAUCUUCUUCUUCAUUUGGGGUUUUGCUUUCCAAGCCUCCCUUCUCCAAUAUAUCCCGCCCACCUCUGACGGUGUUUGUCGCAUUCACUUCUUCACUUUUUUUCUCUCUCUCUCUCUCUCAAAAAGACGUAACAUUAAUCAAAUUCAAUUGAGAGAAGGAACAUGAGCCUUUUUAUUCUUUAAGGGGGGAGAAUCUUCUUCCCGGAGAAAAUAAAUUGCGGCCCGUCUUGUUUCUCUCUCUGUUUGUCUGUCUGUUAUGUCUGGACGGUGAAAUUGAGACGUCGGAAAGUUAGGAAAGAAAAAAAAGGAAACUUCUCUUCUUUUUUGGCUGAGAAUGUUUUGUAUUUUUAAGUGCGUUUCGCUUUAAACAAGGACGAAACGAAACCUUCAAAAGCCGCGAGGCUAAAGAAGCAACUUUGGGAAGCGCAAAUAUUGGCAGGCACCGUAUCCUCCUCCUCCUUUUCUCCGUUGUGUUCCUCUUUGUGUGUGUGUGUUUUCCUUUGCCACACGGAUGUCAAAGGAUCCAAACAGAGAGAGAGGGUGGUGCGCGGAUAACCCUAAUCAAAGGUGUGUGCCUAUCUCUCUCUCUCUCUCCAUUGUGGUAGGAAUAAAAGGUGUCCUAUAUAUUGCCCCUCCUUGGUCUCUCUACCAAAAAACAAGGAGUGUGUGUGCAGACACAACCGACUGCAAUAUAUAAAUAGGAGCUGGCGAGAGAGAAUGGCGACGCUAUCUUUUUAGGCAAGUUUGUCAUGGGCCGCCAUAGCCUCGAAAUAAAAUCCUUGACUCGGAUCGCUUGUGUGGCAAA